rnacentral:tRNA from 4 species
GGUAGCGUGUCCGAGCGGCCGAAGGAGCACGCCUCGAAAGCGUGUGAGGUGCAAGCCUCCGUGGGUUCAAAUCCCACCGCUACCGCCA